rnacentral:sRNA from 1 species
CCAGUAACAUCAUUUGGGUGCCCUGCUUUAUCAAUCGAAGCGCCUUCCACCAUUAAGAAGAAUCCUUUAUCAUUUUGCUGUAAUUUAUUAACUGCAGUUUCUGU